rnacentral:rRNA from 1 species
GAUGAACGCUAGCGGGAGGCCUAACACAUGCAAGCCGAGCGGUAUUUCUUCUUCGGGAGAGAGAGAGCGGCGUACGGGUGCGGAACACGUGUGCAACCUGCCUUUAUCUAGAGGAUAGCCUUUCGAAAGGAAGAUUAAUACUCUAUAAUAUAUUAAUUGGCAUCAAUUGAUAUUGAAAACUCCGGUGGAUAGAGAUGGGCACGCGCAAGAUUAGCUAGUUGGUGAGGUAACGGCUCACCAAGGCAAUGAUCUUUAGGGGGCCUGAGAGGGUGAUCCCCCACACUGGUACUGAGACACGGACCAGACUCCUACGGGAGGCAGCAGUGAGGAAUAUUGGUCAAUGGGUGCAAGCCUGAACCAGCCAUCCCGCGUGAAGGAUUAAGGUCCUAUGGAUUGUAAACUUCUUUUGUAUAGGGAUAAACCUACCCUCGUGAGGGUAGCUGAAGGUACUAUACGAAUAAGCACCGGCUAACUCCGUGCCAGCAGCCGCGGUAAGAC